AUCAAUCUAACAUGUUUUUUCUGGUCCCUACAUCUCAGGUCUAUAUUAUUGACAUUAAAUCAACGUUGAUUUGAUGUCAGGAAAUAAGACGUCAAAUUGAUGUGAAAUUUAUGUCAAAACAACGUCUGUUAAAAUGUCUGAAAAGGUAUAUUAUUAGCCUACUCAUUGUAAAUCGACGCGAGUUUUUCAACAUCCUGACCCACACAGCAGAGGGUUCCAAAACGGACCCUCUGCGGUGGACUCCGUGCGGAUACACACAUCGAACGCGCCCUUUCCAGUCCUAACGGCUCCUUCAGUUUUCAAAUUUCUCGUUGAUGAAGUGGAAGACGAAACAGCGGCGUCUGAAGGCUGACUGUCAUUCACAAGUGGCUCCAGUCUGGUUUGGUGGUUCUGCCAUCCAAGUAAAGUUAUUCACAAGUGGCUCCAGUCUGGUUUGGGGGUCUACGCUUUCUCAUCCUGUCCUGCCACCCAAG